AAUAAAUUUUUUAUGAUUUUAAAAAUUUAUUAUGAAUUUAUUUUACAUAUAAAUUUUUGUAUAUUUUUUUAAUUAUUUAAAUAAUAAUUAAUUUUAAUUAGUAGUAAUUAAUUUUAAAAAUUUAAGAAAUUAAGAUUUAGUAAUAUAUAAAUUAAUAACUUAUUUUGUGCCAGCAGUUGCGGUUAUACAAAAAUUAAAUUAAAUUUUAUUAGUAAAUAAUUAAUAAUAAGUAUAAUUAUAUUAAAAAUUUUAAAUUAUUAAGUGAAAUUUUAAUUUAAUAUAAAUUUAUUUGAAAAUUAUGAAUUUAAAAAAGUUUUUUGAAAGACUAGGAUUAGAUACCCUAUUAUUAAAAAUUAAAUUUUAAUACUAAAAUAGUAAUUAAUUAUUUAUUGAAACUUAAAUAAUUUGGCGGUAUUUUAGUUCAUUUAGAGGAAUCUGUUUAUUAAUUGAUAGUCCACGAAUAAAUUUACUUAAUUUAAAAUUUUGUAUAUCGUUGUUAAAAAAAUAUUUUUUAAUAAAAAUAAUAUUUAAAAAUUUUAAUAUAAAAUUAGAUCAGAUCAAGAUGCAGAAUAUAAUUAAGAAUAUAAUGGAUUACAAUAAAUUUAUUUAAAUGAAAAUUGAUUUGUAAACAAUUAAUUGAAGGUGGAUUUAAAUGUAAUUUUAUUUAAUUUAGUAAAAUGAUUAAAAUUUAAAAUAUGUACAUAUUGCCCGUCGCUUUCAUUAAUAAGUUGGAAUAAGUCGUAACAAAGUAGAGGUACUGGAAAGUGUUUCUAGAAAGAU
rnacentral:ncRNA from 1 species